AAAGAAAUAUAUGUGGAUGUGAAACUAAAACGCAUGGAUAUUGAUGUUUCCUUUCAUUUUUAAAUAAUAAAGGACAGUAUAAAUACCUUCAACUCUUCUUGUUCUUCAAUUGUUGGAUUGGAAUAUUUUGAAGAAAUCAUUAAGUGCACAAUAGUAAUCGAACAACAACAUGAGUUAGAGAAGUGAUUGAACUUAGCAAUGUUGCCAAAAAAAACUAUCAUGAUGUACUAACCGAAAACCGGAAGCUUAUCAACGACCUUCAGGAGCUUAAAGGAAACAUUAGAGUGUUUUGUCGGGUGAGACAUUUGCUUCCUGGACAAGGUACAACAAACAUCAUGGUUGAGUAUAUUGGUGAGGAUGGAGAACUAGUAAUUAGGAAUCCAGUUAGGAAUUCCGCUAAGCCCGGCAAAGAUUUUUGCAAGUUUAAGUUAAUAAAGUUUAUACUCCAGCUGCAACUCAAGGUGGUGAUCAUUAUUUUUUCCAAUAUGUUUACAUAUGAUGUAUCAAAUUAUAUUAAUAUGAUAUAUGAUUCUUGCAGCUGAAGUGUUUAAAGACAGAACCACUGGUUAGGUCAGUGAUGGAUGGAUUCAAUGUUUGUAUAUUCGCAAGCGGAGAGAACGAUAGAGAGAGAGAGAGAGAGAGAGAGAGAGAGAGAGAGACUCGAAACUUAAGAAAUUAGAAGAAGAGGCAAACACAGCGUUUAGGUUUAGGUAUCCGGGUUAUACUCGUAUGAGUUUGGGUUGGUCGGGUUAUGUAUUUAAAAAUAAAUAAAUAAAUUGUUUUUUAUUGCUGAGAGAAUUAUAUUAUUAGUUUCAGCUUGAAUUUAGUGCACUUUUUUAGUCGGGUUUAGUUUGGUUUAAACUUAAAUUUGUUGUUUCACAUCUGGUUUGAAUUUGAUUUCUGUUUUUUUUUACUUAAAUAUGCAUGUGAUUUGGUUAUUGAAAAUAGAUAUAUAUGUGGAUGUGAAACUAGAAAUCAUGGAUAUUGAUGUUUGCUUUUGUUUUAAAAAAAAAUUAAAAUCUCUUAUUCACUUGAAUCAUGUCGUCGGAAUUUUGUUUUCUUGAAAUGGUGUUUACAAUAUGUUAUAUUGACUUGAAUCAUUCAUGUGGACAGACCUUAUUUUGAAACUUGAUUGUUUUGUUGGAACAAUGUGCCAAAAAGAAGAACAUUAAGAAGAAGAAGAAGCAAUCAUGCAAGAAAAUUUUGGGUCCUAUCAA